rnacentral:rRNA from 1 species
AUCGAACGCUGGCGGCAGGCCUAACACAUGCAAGUCGAACGGUAACAGGAAGAAUCUUGCUUCUUGGCUGACGAGUGGCGGACGGGUGAGUAAUGUCUGGGAAACUGCCGGUUGGAGGGGGACAACUACUGGAAACGUGAGCUAAUACCGCCUAAUGUCGCAAGACCAAAGAGGGGGACCUUGGGGCCUCUUGCCAUUCGAUCUGCCCAGUUGGGAUUUGCUAGUAGGUGGGGUCACGGCUCACCUAGGCGACGAUCCCUAGCUGGUCUGAGAGGAUGACCGGCCACACUGGAGCUGAGACACGGUCCAGACUCCUACGGGAGGCAGCAGUCGGGAAUAUUGCACAAUGGGCGGAAGCCUGAUGCAGCUAUGCCGCGUGUAUGAAGAAGGCCUUCGGGUUGUAAAGUACUUUCGGCGGGGAGGAAGGAAGUAAUGUUAAUACCUUUGCUCAUUGACGUUACCCGCAGAAGAAGCUCCGGCUAACUCCGUG